GACGAACGCUGGCGGCGUGCCUAAUACAUGCAAGUAGAACGCUGAAGAGAGGAGCUUGCUCUUCUUGGAUGAGUUGCGAACGGGUGAGUAACGCGUAGGUAACCUGCCUUGUAGCGGGGGAUAACUAUUGGAAACGAUAGCUAAUACCGCAUAACAAUGGAUGACCCAUGUCAUUUAUUUGAAAGGGGCAAAUGCUCCACUACAAGAUGGACCUGCGUUGUAUUAGCUAGUAGGUGAGGUAACGGCUCACCUAGGCGACGAUACAUAGCCGACCUGAGAGGGUGAUCGGCCAAACUGGGACUGAGACACGGCCCAGACUCCUACGGGAGGCAGCAGUUGGGAAUCUUCGGCAAUGGGGGCAACCCUGACCGAGCAACGCCGCGUGAGUGAAGAAGGUUUUCGGAUCGUAAAGCUCUGUUGUAAGUCAAGAACGAGUGUGAGAGUGGAAAGUUCACACUGUGACGGUAGCUUACCAGAAAGGGACGGCUAACUACGUG
rnacentral:rRNA from 1 species